rnacentral:rRNA from 1 species
CCUACGGGAGGCAGCAGUGAGGAAUAUUGGUCAAUGGACGAAAGUCUGAACCAGCAAAGUAGCGUGAAGGAUGACUGCCCUAUGGGUUGUAAACUUCUUUUAUAUGGGAAUAAAAUGUUCCACGUGUGGAAUUUUGUAUGUACCAUAUGAAUAAGGAUCGGCUAACUCCGUGCCAGCAGCCGCGGUAAUACGGAGGAUCCGAGCGUUAGCCGGAUUUAUUGGGUUUAAAGGGAGCGUAGGUGGAUUGUUAAGUCAGUUGUGAAAGUUUGGGGCUUAACCGUAAAAUUGCAGUUGAAACUGGCAGUCUUGAGUACAGUAGAGGUGGGCGGAAUUCGUGGUGUAGCGGUGAAAUGCUUAGAUAUCACGAAGAACUCCGAUUGCGAAGGCAGUUCACUGGACUGCAACUGACACUGAGGCUCGAAAGCGUGGGUAUCAAACAGGAUUAGAUACCCUGGUAGUC